rnacentral:lncRNA from 1 species
UUUUAUAUAAAAUUUAUAUUUAAGUGGCAUGACAUUGUAGUUGCAUAUAAAUGUAUAGAAAUAUAUGUAUAUUGUAGAGAAGUUGUAAACACAAACAUUAUAACAUUUGUGUAGAGAGUACAUUGAAUACAAAUAGUGAAUGUUUUAUCAUUAAACAAUGGGAUUUGGCCAACCAAACUCUUCUUCUGACAUAUGCUUAAAAGUUGCCUAAUGACCUCAUUGAUUACUCAGUGAUUUUGCUGGUAAAAGAAAAACUCAUGUUAAGCUGCCGCUCUUUCUCGUCGUUCCUUGCAGUUAAUCAAUUUGUUGUAUUUUUUGGUCAAGUAAUAGGAAGAUAUUCAGUGCAACAAUGCCGUCUCUCUUUCUCGUCGAACAUACACAUUUGUCCUAUAUUUGCGCUCAACCUUGGCAAAAAUUUCUUGAGCAAACUGGCUUACGUUAGUUUCAUCACAGGAUGACAACAUUCCUGUAUCAACAAUAUGAGUGAUAUCCAGUACUGUCGUCGUUGAAUUGUGCCCUAGAGACCUCAAUUUCUCUCCAACUCACUUCUUCACAUCAAACGCCAUCUUAAUUUCGUAUGUGCCAACUUUGUGAUCAGAAAAGAUAAACCGAUUUUAU